rnacentral:rRNA from 1 species
GGGCCCGCACAAGCGGUGGAGCAUGUGGUUUAAUUCGAUGAUACGCGAGGAACCUUACCAGGGCUUAAAUGUAGAACGACCGAUUUGGAAACAAGUCUUCUCUUUGAGCGGUCUACAAGGUGCUGCAUGGUUGUCGUCAGCUCGUGCCGUGAGGUGUCGGGUUAAGUCCCUUAACGAGCGCAACCCCUAUCUCUAGUUGCCAGCGGAUAAUGCCGGGGACUCUAGAGAAACUGCCCGUGCAAACGGUGAGGAAGGUGGGGAUGACGUCAAAUCAUCACGGCCCUUACGUCCUGGGGCUACACACGUGCUACAAUGGUCGGUACAGAGGGCAGCUACCACGUGAGUGGAUG